GUCUCUUUCUGGACAACAGGGGGACAUUCAGCCAAGGAAGGACCAUUAUCUGCAAGGGGAUGUGAUACAGGUUUUUCAUGUCACAGUGAAUUCACAAGAGUUGGGCCUGCAUCUUCCCAAUGUUACCACUUUGGAUGGUCUCCUUCACCUCCAACCUGUAAAGGGCAAGUUAAUAACUGUAACACCCCAUACCCAACAUUUCGAAUGGAAGCAUUAUUGGUGAUCUUUAUGAGGACUAUGAACAUGAGGAGCAGGUGGAAUACAAGUGUAAUGUCAAAUAUGCACUGACCGGAGCGAAGCGAAUAACGUGUAUUGAUGGGAAAUGGACGUCUUCACCCAGCCUGCACAGUGGAAGAAAAAACUUGUGGGCCACCUCCCAGCAUUCCAAGCGGACAUGUUAUCGGUGUAGUAGACCGGGAACAUUAUUUCCAUGGUGAAACAGUGAGAUACAGAUGUGAGAAAACUUUGUCAUUACUGCAACCAACCCAGCCGUCUGUAUUCAUGGAGAGUGGGAAUUACCUAUUUGUGCUGAUGAUUCAACAAAAUGUUGCACAUCCAAGUCUACCUAGGAAUGCAAACAUUGUGUCUGCU